rnacentral:misc_RNA from 1 species
UCGCGGCUUAUCACCGGCAGUCCCCUUAGAGUGCCCAACUAAAUGAUGGCAACACGCCACGGGGGUUGCGCUCGUUGCGGGACUUAACCCAACAUCACACGACACGAGCUGACGACAGCCAUGCAGCAUCUGUGGCGCACCCUCGAAGGUCACACGUUUCCGUGCGCUUGCAGCGCCAUGUCAAGCCCAGGUAAGGUUCUUCGCGUUGCAUCGAAUUAAAGAACAUGCUCCACCGCUUGUGCGGACCCCCGUCAAUUCCUUUGAGUUUCAACCUUGCGGUCGUACUCCCCAGGUGGAUUACAGCGUGGACUAC